GUUUCCGUAGUGUAGUGGUUAUCCCGUUCGCCUCACACGCGAAAGGUCCCCGGUUCGAACCCGGGCUGAAACA
rfam:Ciona savignyi cont_36431, whole genome shotgun sequence.